UUUCGCACCUCCAUCCUGUGUCUCCUCCUGUGAGGGCUGAGAGUUGACCCUGUGUGUGUGGCCAUAGCCCUUUUGCACCUGGACUCAUUUCUCUGUCACAUGGCGGGACCAUGGGCUGCUUGUCAUUGAUGAUUUUCUCUGGGCCCAGAAAUCUGGAAUGACUUUGAUGAGCACCGUGGAUCCAUGGAUGAUUACUGAGCAGUGGAGUUCCUACCAGUUACCUGGAGUUUAGGAAGACAAUUCUAGAACAGUAUGUGGCAGAGUCUGGGUGGAAGGAUAUCUGGAUACAGGAAGCUUAUGGCUACAAUGCCAGAAGUUGAACUGUGGCAGCAAGAAUAGAGCAUGGGAUCCACUGAGAGAUACAACAAAGAGUAUUCUGCAUGACUACUUUGCUGGAGCAGGAGAGGGCUGGGGGCAUGGACCAUAGACUCAGAUGGUAAGACUUACAACGUGGCUUUAACAUUUUUUAGAUAUCCAUUGUGGUGAUGUCUUAGCCUCUUUGUGCCUUGGUUUCUUAACUGUAGAAUGAAGAGAAUAAAAG